rnacentral:rRNA from 1 species
UUUAUGGAGAGUUUGAUCCUGGCUCAGGAUGAACGCUGGCGGCGCGCCUAAUACAUGCAAGUCGAGCGAACGGACGAGAAGCUUGCUUCUCUGAUGUUAGCGGCGGACGGGUGAGUAACACGUGGAUAACCUACCUAUAAGACUGGGAUAACUUCGGGAAACCGGAGCUAAUACCGGAUAAUAUUUUGAACCGCAUGGUUCA